AUGGCACAUCAUUUCAAGAAUAUAGUUGUUGAAGCAACUUAUAUGCAAAGCACGACUACUAUCACGACAUCCUUUUUUAGGACAAAGAUAAUUAAUAACACGACAUUCUAUGUCUCAUUGCUAUCUUAUUUAUUUGAUCAUUUUGGGAGCUUCAAUUCCUUGAAUAAUUCAGUGAAUGCCAUCUGCAAUGACCCGUUGUCUGCCAAUGCCAACACUCAUCUAGCCUUCUCCUUCGCCAAUAUUCUCCCCUUCUUCUCCAUGCCCUCAGCCUUCACAAGUUCCUCGUCAUACUUCUCCAUCACCUCCCCGACAUUCAUAUCAUCCACCACGAAUAUAAUUCAUAACAUUCAGGCGGUAAAGGUCAAUGUACACCAAGCCGGUCAAAUAAAUAGUACUUUAGCAUCUCUCAAGGGAAGUUUCAAAUUUCACCUAAAAAUUUCAGUUAAAGUCAUGUCAAUAAUUUAA
rnacentral:rRNA from 1 species